UACGAAGGGUGCAAACGUUGCUCGGAAUCACUGGGCGUAAAGGGUGCGUAGGCGGAUUUCUAAGUCAGGGGUGAAAGCCUGAGGCUCAACCUCAGAACUGCCUUUGAUACUGGAAGUCUUGAGUCCGGAAGAGGUGAGUGGAACUCCUAGUGUAGAGGUGGAAUUCGUAGAUAUUAGGAAGAACACCAGUGGCGAAGGCGGCUCACUGGUCCGGUACUGACGCUGAGGUGCGAAAGCGUGGGGAGCAAACAGGG
rnacentral:rRNA from 1 species